UACGUAGGGUGCAAGCGUUGUCCGGAAUUAUUGGGCGUAAAGAGCUUGUAGGCGGUUUGUCGCGUCUGCUGUGAAAUUUCGGGGCUCAACCCCGAACUUGCAGUGGGUACGGGCAGACUAGAGUGUGGUAGGGGAGACUGGAAUUCCUGGUGUAGCGGUGAAAUGCGCAGAUAUCAGGAGGAACACCGAUGGCGAAGGCAGGUCUCUGGGCCAUAACUGACGCUGAGAAGCGUAAGCAUGGGGAGCGAACAGG
rnacentral:rRNA from 1 species